GCCGAGGCCCCCGCCAGGCGCAACGCCGCAUGCCCGGCGCUGGCGCCGCCCCGGCCCGCCCCUUCCCGGGCGCUGAGGGGGCGGUGGCCAAGCCCGGGCCGAGGGGGAGGUGUCCGGCCCGCCUACCUCCCCGGGCGCCCGGCCUGGGCUUGGCUGCUCCCUCUGCGAAAGAAGGAGCAAUUUUUUAUCGCGUUUGGCUGCAGCUGCACGACCGAGGGGGAAGGGGCUUUCCUCACCCGGCAAUGGCUCCCCGCCCGGCUUCCCCUCGUUCACUCAGCUGAAGGCACAAAGAAAAGAGAGAGAUGUUCUUCCUGCAACAUUUCCUGGUUAUUGUACCUAUCUUCUUCAUAACAAGCAAAGGAUAUUUAAUGUACAGUCACAACAAACAAACAUGGCCUAUGUGACUAUGGAAUGGCUGUGACUCUUCAUGAGGAAAGACAUACAUUGUCAGAAGGUACCAUAUAGAUGCUACCAACAAGGAGCAUCCUUUUAUAAUAGGCAACAACUGUAUGGAAGUUCUCCAGGUAGAAUUACAGCUACAGAUGAAGCUGUUGGGCAGACAGGUCAAGCAGAGGAAGCAGAAUUAUUUGCUGAUAUUUAAAAGAGAAAAACUGAAAAACUAUCUGCACUGACAAAAUGCCUUUUUGAGGUCUGCUGUGUGUUUAAAGUUGUGGUUAGCACCUUUCAUUUAAUGUGAGAGGUACUAGAAGUGGUAUCUCAGCAGUGAAAAAGUUAAUUGGUUGCCACGUUAGGUAGCUAUUAGCAGUGGUGAACGGAUGCUGGGACCUAGAGAAGGCAACUCCUACAAUAAUGAUGAGCAGUAGAGGGUAGGAGGAAUAUAAUAAAAUAAUGCUAAGUGAUCUCUGAUUUUUCUUCCUGGAAAUAUGAGGUCAGUUUUGAAAGGAGCAUUACAGUGACAGCAUACAGGAAGUGAGAACAAGUGUGAAGAAAAAAAUAAAAACAAUCAGACACGAAUUAUGGAAGAUGAUGCAGAUCAACAUGACUCAAGAGAAAUAUGAUACAGGUUUCAGAAAGGAUUAUUGGAAUAUAUGAUGUUCAUGAUGCUAUUUUCUGUGGAAUUAACGCUUUGGUGAAAUAUAUACAGCUCCUCUCCAAAGACAAAUGUUGGAGUAGUCAAGCCUGACAGGCAUUCAUAAAUUUCUUCAGAGCAAUUGGAGACCUUUUCUUCCACACUACUCUAGACUGUGAAAUAUAGGCCACAGUUCACAGUACAAUUCAAACUUAUGUCUUGUACCAUAUCAUUUAUACUCUGCCAGCUGCAUAGCUAUUAUACUGAUACUGGACUGUGUAGAAUUUGACAGAAACACCAGGAUUAUAACUAAACAAGCACAAUUCCUGACUAGGUCCAUUGUUUUUAGAACCUCUAGUUAAAAAGAAAAAUGUUAAGGAAAACAGUAAUAAUAACCAAAUCUUAGUUACUAACUAUUUUGAACCAAAAGAGCUGUAGAAAGCCCCAUGACAGUUAACUUGUCCGUCCAUCCACCCAACACAGCAGCAACAAAAAGAACAGUCAGUUCAUCAAAACAAAGUCAGUCUUCAGUGGUAUGAAAGCCACAGAGGAGAUAAGUUCUAACAAGAUGAGGCCAAGGAAAAGUUCAAACAACCAUGAAAAAAAUCAAUUAUCUUCAAAAAAGAGAGGGUAACUUAAAGAAAGGUUCAAAAGCAACUUAUAACCUUUGUGAAGUGCACACUGUAAUACCUUGUCUUAACCUUAACUCUGAGAAAGGAUGACUGUAGAUUUUAACAAAAUAUUACUUACAUAAAGACAGAGCAAGUGAAAAAUCACCCUAUCCAAACAUGGUUCCUGAAAUUAAAAUGUCAAAGGUUUGCAGAAUUUGUAGAAUUCUAGAUCUGUCAGUUAUUCCAAUGACAAUGGAAAGCAAGGACUUUCACCACACAUCGUUAGAAAACUUUUUAUGAAAAAUAAUGGCAGUCCUGCAUAAAUUAGCCAGUUAUGAGCAAUGCCCUUGGGUCUUUCCCUCCUUUCAGAGUAGUAACAUAGAACAGCUCCAUUACCUUUCCUGAAAAUGUUUGCUGAGGCUCUCACGACUGAUGAAAGAGAUGUCUAAGAAUUGCUUGGAAAAACAGAAAAGUAGGGUGGCUAAGCCCUUGCAUGAUGACAGUGGGGUAUGACAUUUUCCCACUGAGUAAAGGGGUAGGAGUUACACAGCUUCACAGUCCUUUGAACAGGCAUUCCUAGUCUGUAACUAAACUUUCGUUCAUGUUGCUUUUCUCUCUUUUUCCCACAACUCAUUUUAAACAGAAUACCAUUGUUUCUGGAAUACCCUGAUUAGAAUAGCCACACAAAUUUCUUUCUUCCCGUAGUUACAGUUUUUGAGUUUUAUUAGAUUGCUUUCUUUCACAUGAACCUUGCUGUGCCACUCACAUCCACAGCAAGAUAAAAUGUGCGUAAAGCAAAAAAUCUCAGUUGCUCACCUUCAUGGGUUGCUACAUCAGUUGCCAUCUCUUUCAGUGGUCCUACAUCAGAUGUAGGCCUCAUUCUGUAAACAGAUGUACAUGUUUAAACUUUGCCAUAAGUAGCCUUUAUUGAAAUAAAUGGGUUACACACAUGCCUAA